rnacentral:rRNA from 1 species
CCUACGGGAGGCAGCAGUGAGGAAUAUUGGUCAAUGGACGAGAGUCUGAACCAGCCAAGUAGCGUGAAGGAUGACUGCCCUAUGGGUUGUAAACUUCUUUUAUAUGGGAAUAAAAUGUUCCACGUGUGGGAUUUUGUAUGUACCAUAUGAAUAAGGAUCGGCUAACUCCGUGCCAGCAGCCGCGGUAAUACGGCGAAACCGAGCGUUAUCCGGAUUUAUUGGGUUUAAAGGGAGCGUAGGUGGAUUUUUAAGUCAGUUGUGAAAGUUUGCGGCUCAACCGUAAAAUUGCAGUUGAAACUGGCAGUCUUGAGUACAGUAGAGGUGGGCGGAAUUCGUGGUGUAGCGGUGAAAUGCUUAGAUAUCACGAAGAACUCCGAUUGCGAAGGCAGUUCACUGGACUGCAACUGACACUGAGGCUCGAAAGUGUGGGUAUCAAACAGGAUUAGAGACCCCAGUAGUC